GCCAGCUCCAUUGUGGAGGGGCGAGAUUCGCACCUGACGCGCCGAGGUACUCCGUCAGGACAGAGACCCCCAAAAAGAAGCAACCGCCCUCCUUUUUCUCAACUGGAUGGAUCACCCAAGCGGCAUGAAAAAAGGUCAACUUCGACUUGGCUGGGAAGCCCUUACUUAGAUUCACACAACCGGGCUUACAAAACACAUGGCUUGCUCAAAGAAGUCCACCUGAUUAGGGCUUAAGAGAAGAAAAACCAGCCGCAGCGGAACACGCUAAUGUCAUGGCUAGGUUUCCACAGGCUGCUGAAUACCCCAUGGUUCAUUUGUUCUGGGCGAGGUACUCUCGAGAGCCAAGAGUCAACGAUGAACCUCUGAUCUUCUCAACAUCUCUACAGUCCCAUGAACGUUGACCAGGGAGUUUUAACCACAACCUACCGUGUGGUUUUCUCAAGAGAAAUCCAAGUGAGGUCCUAACAAAAAUUCUGCAAGAAAAAAAAACCAAGCUCAGAGAGCACCGAGGACGUCAACGUUUCAAAGAAAACUUGCUACCCUCUUCAAUUUGAAAGGUUCUCAUGAGAA